AGCGAACGCUGGCGGCAGGCCUAACACAUGCAAGUCGAACGAACUCUUCGGAGUUAGUGGCGGACGGGUGAGUAACACGUGGGAACGUGCCUUUUGGUUCGGAAUAACUCAGGGAAACUUGUGCUAAUACCGAAUGUGCCCUUCGGGGGAAAGAUUUAUCGCCAUUAGAGCGGCCCGCGUCUGAUUAGCUAGUUGGUGAGGUAACGGCUCACCAAGGCGACGAUCAGUAGCUGGUCUCAGAGGAUGACCAGCCACACUGGGACUGAGACACGGCCCAGACUCCUACGGGAGGCAGCAGUGGGGAAUCUUGCGCAAUGGGCGAAAGCCUGACGCAGCCAUGCCGCGUGAAUGAUGAAGGUCUUAGGAUUGUAAAAUUCUUUCACCGGGGACGAUAAUGACGGUACCCGGAGAAGAAGCCCCGGCUAACUUCGUG
rnacentral:rRNA from 1 species